rnacentral:rRNA from 1 species
GUCGAACGAGUUCUCGUUGAUGAUCGGUGCUUGCACCAAGAUUGAACAUGCCACGAGUGGCGGACGGGUGAGUAACACGUGGGUAACCUGCCCUUAAGUGGGGGAUAACAUUUGGAAACAGAUGCUAAUACCGCAUAGAUCCAAGAACCGCAUGGUUCUUGGCUGAAAGAUGGCGUAAGCUAUCGCUUUUGGAUGGACCCGCGGCGUAUUAGCUAGUUGGUGAGGUAAUGGCUCACCAAGGCGAUGAUACGUAGCCGAACUGAGAGGUUGAUCGGCCACAUUGGGACUGAGACACGGCCCAAACUCCUACGGGAGGCAGCAGUAGGGAAUCUUCCACAAUGGACGCAAGUCUGAUGGAGCAACGUCGCGUGAGUGAAGAAGGCUUUCGGGUCGUAAAACUCUGUUGUUGGAGAAGAAUGGUCGGCAGAGUAACUGUUGUCGGCGUGACGGUAUCCAACCAGAAAGCCACGGCUAACUACGUGCCAGCAGCCGCGGUAAUACGUAGGUGGCAAGCGUUAUCCGGAUUUAUUGGGCGUAAAGCGAGCGCAGGCGGUUUUUUAAGUCUGAUGUGAAAGCCCUCGGCUUAACCGAGGAAGCGCAUCGGAAACUGGGAAACUUGAGUGCAGAAGAGGACAGUGGAACUCCAUGUGUAGCGGUGAAAUGCGUAGAUAUAUGGAAGAACACCAGUGGCGAAGGCGGCUGUCUGGUCUGUAACUGACGCUGAGGCUCGAAAGCAUGGGUAGCGAACAGGAUUAGAUACCCUGGUAGUCCAUGCCGUAAACGAUGAAUGCUAGGUGUUGGAGGGUUUCCGCCCUUCAGUGCCGCAGCUAACGCAUUAAGCAUUCCGCCUGGGGAGUACGACC